rnacentral:rRNA from 1 species
GACAUGACGGUACUUGAGGAAUAAGCCACGGCUAAUUCCGUGCCAGCAGCCGCGGUAAUACGGGAGUGGCAAGCGUUAUCCGGAAUUAUUGGGCGUAAAGCGUCCGCAGGCGGCCCAGCAAGUCUGUUGUUAAAAAGUGGAGCUUAACUCCAUCCAGGCAAUGGAAACUGCUGGGCUAGAGUGUGGUAGGGGCAGAGGGAAUUCCCGGUGUAGCGGUGAAAUGCGUAGAUAUCGGGAAGAACACCAGUGGCGAAGGCGCUCUGCUGGGCCAUAACUGACGCUCAUGGACGAAAGCCAGGGGAGCGAAAGGGAUUAGAUACCCCUGUAGUCCUGGCCGUAAACGAUGAACACUAGGUGUCGGGGGAAUCGACCCCCUCGGUGUCGUAGCCAACGCGUUAAGUGUUCCGCCUGGGGAGUACGCACGCAAGUGUGAAACUCAAAGGAAUUGACGGGGGCCCGCACAAGCGGUGGAGUAUGUGGUUUAAUUCGAUGCAACGCGAAGAACCUUACCAGGGUUUGACAUCCUGCGAAUCCCUUGGAAACUUGGGAGUGCCUUCGGGAGCGCAGUGACAGGUGGUGCAUGGCUGUCGUCAGCUCGUGUCGUGAGAUGUUGGGUUAAGUCCCGCAACGAGCGCAACCCACGUCUUUAGUUGCCAGCAUUCAGUUGGGCACUCUAGAGAGACCGCCGGUGAUAAACCGGAGGAAGGUGUGGAUGACGUCAAGUCAUCAUGCCCCUUACAUCCUGGGCUACACACGUACUACAAUGCUACGGACAAAGGGCAGCAAACUCGCGAGAGCUAGCAAAUCCCAUAAACCGUGGCUCAGUUCAGAUCGUAGGCUGCAACUCGCCUACGUGAAGGAGGAAUCGCUAGUAAUCGCAGGUCAGCAUACUGCGGUGAAUACGUUCCCGGGCCUUGUACACACCGCCCGUCACACCAUGGAAGUUGGCCAUGCCCGAAGUCGUUACUCCAACCCGUAAGGGAGGAGGACGCCGAAGGUGGGGCUGAUGACUGGGGUGAAGUCGUAACAAGGUAGCCGUACCGGAAGGUGCGGCUGGAUCACCUCCUAA